rnacentral:rRNA from 1 species
GACGAACGCUGGCGGCGUGCCUAACACAUGCAAGUCGAGCGAGUCUGCCUUGAAGAUCGGAGUGCUUGCACUCUGUGAAACAAGAUACAGGCUAGCGGCGGACGGGUGAGUAACACGUGGGUAACCUGCCCAAGAGAUCGGGAUAACACCUGGAAACAGAUGCUAAUACCGGAUAACAACAGAUGAUGCCUAUCAACUGUUUAAAAGAUGGUUCUGCUAUCACUCUUGGAUGGACCUGCGGUGCAUUAGCUAGUUGGUAGGGUAACGGCCUACCACGGCGAGGAUGCAUAGCCGAGUUGACGGACUGAUCGGCCACAUUGGGACUGAGACACGGCCCAAACUCCUACGGGAGGCAGCAGUAGGGAAUCUUCCACAAUGGACGCAAGUCUGAUGGAGCAACGCCGCGUGAGUGAAGAAGGGUUUCGGCUCGUAAAGCUCUGUUGUUGGUGAAGAAGGACAGGGGUAGUAACUGACCUUUGUUUGACGGUAAUCAAUUAGAAAGUCACGGCUAACUACGUG